UACGUAGGUGGCAAGCGUUGUCCGGAAUUAUUGGGCGUAAAGCGCGCGCAGGCGGUUCUUUAAGUCUGAUGUGAAAUCCCACGGCUCAACCGUGGAAGUGCAUUCGAAACUGCAGGGCUAGAGUCCUGGAGAGGAAGGUGGAAUGCUUGGUGUAGAGGUGAAAUUCGUAGAUAUCAAGCGGAACACCGGUGGCGAAGGCGGCCUUCUGGACAGUGACUGACGCUGAGACGCGAAAGCGUGGGGAGCAAACAGG
rnacentral:rRNA from 1 species